UUUAUAGUAUUUUUAAGAUUCCUUUUAAGAUCUAGGAAUAGGACCCUAAAACAAGGAAUAUGUAGAACCUAAGUUGUUGGAUGGGAAUAUGUAAGUCUAGAAAAGUGGAAUGCUCAUUCUGCCAUGCUCAUGAUCUGCUGGCUAGUAUGAUCCAAACAUGGACUUGUGCUUCCUUGGCCAGUGGUAGUUUUGGCUAUAAACAUGUGACCCAUUGCUGACCAAUAAGAAAAGAAAACAAUAAGCGCAGGAAAGCAGGGAGAGGAGAGAGGGAAGAAGAGUUCUGGUAAAAUGCUCCUUCAUCAUUGCCAUGUUUUAGAUAUCGGCCACCACUUGAACAUUCUAAGCAGAAAAGGUUCUAUAUAGGAAAUCAGGUGUUUAAAAUAUGGAUGGGUAAGGGGGCAGGUGUUGGACCAGCAGAAAUGUCUGGGAUCAGAAAGCCACAUGCAGGGUCAGACUAGGCCUGCUUGGUCCAUGUGGGUGGAAAUUAAUGCCUGAUUCCUACUUCUCUGUACCCAGAAAGCUGGUAAUGGGCUCUGGGAAUUUUGCUAACAAUGCUGCAAAAGCCCACUGCUUCUAUGCCCAUGUUCACCAGGAAACAGCGACAAAAGAGACCGCACCCUCCUUUCACAUCUAAGAAGGUUCAUUUGAUGCUCAGUCUUCCACAGGAAGAAUCUUACCUGCUUCUUUCUUUCAUUUGGGACCUUGUGUUCAUGAAGCAGGCGGCGGAACCACUGAACUAAUUCCCCAGCCCCUACCCGCUACUUUCUUAGUGCAAAACCCUGGCCCUUCGUCCAUCCUGUCACAUUCUCAUUCCCAGGGAAGUGAGCAAUUGUCAAGUUGGAAAGGAUAAAUGACACACACGUACACGUCCCUGAUCUUUCCUUCCUUCAUCACAUCUCCCACAUGUCUUUCCAUACCUGUUCAACAGCAGCUUUUUGUGACUUGUCCUUAUGAAGCCUUUCCGGUGUAUAAGACUCCAGUUGCAUCAUUGGAGUUGCAUGGACAAGGGGCAGAUAUGGGUUGGAAAAGAGGAGCACCGACUUCCAGAGAACAUUCAGCUCGGUGCAUGGAACAGAAGUGCCUGGCACGCAGUGGGCAGUGAUGGCUUUGCAGAGGUGGCAGAGAGCAUCUGCUCGUGGUGACCCACUGGGCGGAGGCUGUGUCAAGAGCUCCUGUUGUGCUGACAAACUAUCUUCUCCCGCCCAGAUGCAUGUGGACUAGGAUGGUGGCUCCUGCCCCUCUUUAUUGAAGGGCUCGAGUCCUCCACAGGGUGGGCCAAACAAGGAGUUGUGUCUUUGUUUAGCUAAGUUUUUUUUGUUUUGUUUUGUUUUGUUUUUUUAGUAAAAUUCACAAAGGGGAAAAUACACCCCUGCCUUUUGUGAGCUGUCUUAUGUGAAUGUCCUAUCCUCUGCAGUCAUCUCCUAUUUUAUUGUUUCAUUUUUAAUUUCCCCUUUAUUUAUCUCCCUGAACAGUCACCCAACUCCUCUCCCAGGGUAGCACUGCACCCUCAGCACAGCUCCAGCCCCUGCUAGGGCCUCACACUUCCACCUCUUCAGGCCCCAGCCACCGACCCCCAGCCAGGCUUUGUGAGCUCUGCAGGAGCCAGAGGUGAAUUCUGGCCCACGGGUUGGGGUGGAGCAUGAGAAGCAGCAGAACGUGGCUUCUUUCUGUCGGAAGGCGGAUGGCCACCACCACCACCCAAACUAUGGGUUUCUUCAGAAAACCAUCCAUUUUGGUUUUCUUUCCUUUU
rnacentral:lncRNA from 1 species